rnacentral:lncRNA from 1 species
GCUACAACUCCAUCAAAUGAUGGCGGGGAGGGAGAAGAGCACAGCAGCAGCGAAGCUGUUGUUAAUUCCAGCUGCACAGAGGUUUGUGGCAUGGGACAAGCUGGCAGGUCGUGCUCUAAGAUUUGCUUAGUCAAAGUUUACCCCGAUGGCCAACCAAACAAAGCUAUUAAAGCCUAUGCCAUAUUGGACGACCAAAGUAAUAGGUCGUUAGUAAAGUCUGCAUUCUUUGAGCUCUUCAAAAUAAAAAGCGAGCCCUACUCUUACUACUUGAAAACAUGUUCAGGCUCAGUGGAAUUAUCUGGACGGACAGCCAAGGGGUUCGUGGUAGAGUCUCAUGAAGGAGGAGUUGUUGUUCCACUUCCACCACUCAUAGAGUGCGACGACAUACUCGACAAUCGGUCAGAAAUCCCGACGCCAGAUGUGGCUCGUCACCAUCCCCAUCUUCGUAAGAUAGCUAAGCUCAUUCCAGAGGUUGAUCCUACAGCUGAGAUACUCAUGUUGCUCGGUAGAGAUAUAAUACGAGUACAUAAAGUGAGGGAGCAAGUUAACGGACCUCACAACGCCCCCUUUGCGCAACGGCUAGACUUAGGAUGGGUGCUAGUCGGAGAAGUCUGCUUGGGGAGCACACACAAGCCAACGGUUAACUCGUUUAAAACAACAGUGCUCGAAAAUGGUCGACCUUCAACCUUCCAACCUUGUACAAAUUCCCUAUAUAUCAAAGAAAGGAUAGAUCCUGACACAAGGACAAGGAAGGGAAACUUAAAGAACAACCAAGCUGCAGGAGAAUUUUUAGGACGAACAGUCUUUAAUCAAACGGAGCGUGACAACAAGCUGGCUCCUUCAAUCGAAGAUGACAUCUUUUUGAAGAUGAUGGACAAAGAGGUCUACAGAAAUGAGUCUAACAGUUGGGUGGCUCCACUCCCAUUCAGACAACCGAGACAACGCUUACCUAAUAAUCGUGAUCAAGCAGUCAAACGUUUCACAUCGCUCCAGCGCAGCCUAAAAAGGAGACCAGAGAUGUUACAAAAGUAUGUAGCCUUCAUGGAGAAGAUUCUGGAGAACGACCAUGCAGAGGUAGCGCCACCAUUGGGACAGAAUGAAGAAUGUUGGUUCCUUCCAACAUUUGGGGUGUUCCAUCCUCGAAAGCCAAGCCAAAUCAGGGUGGUAUUUGACUCGAGCGCUAAGUGUUCUGGAGUUUCUCUUAAUGAUGUGCUUCUCACAGGG